UACGUAGGGGGCGAGCGUUGUCCGGAAUUAUUGGGCGUAAGGAGCUCGUAGGCGGCUCAGCAAGUCGGGUGGGAAAUCUCCAGGCUCAACCUGGAGCCUUCGCUCGAUACUGCUGUGGCUUGAGUCCGGUAGGGGAGUGUGGAAUUCCCGGUGUAGCGGUGAAAUGCGCAGAUAUCGGGAGGAACACCGGCGGCGAAGGCGGCACUCUGGGCCGGUACUGACGCUGAGGAGCGAAAGCGUGGGGAGCAAGCAGG
rnacentral:rRNA from 1 species